UUAAAUAACUGAAAUCAUGAAAUUUAUGAUUUUAAAAAUCCUAUGACCAUGAAAUUGACCAAAAUGAACCAUGAAUUUGGUAGGGCCCUAUGCAUAAGGCAUAAUCUAUUAUCUUUCCAUGACUUCUUUGUUUGGAUUCUAGUUUAAAUCUAUUUUUCUACUGAAAAGCCCAGAUCUUACAGCAGUCUAGUUAGUCUUCCAAAGGCUUUGUAAAAAGAAAUGAUUACCUCACUGUUCUUAUUAGAGACCUUUAGGCCUUAGAAAAAAGUAGUAGAUAGAUGUACCUUAAGGAUUUAUGCUGCUGCCCAUCAUUGUAGUAUGAGUGCUGAAUCCUCACUGUUUGCCCAUGUUUAUAAUUUCUCAUUACUCCAGAUUUUGUUCCAUAUAACUUUUUUUCUUCUUUCUUUCCUUAUUUUCUUGUCUUCCAUUUCUGUACUGUAUCGUGUUGGAUGACAUAAGGCUCCUGGAUACGUUGUUGUUUGAAUUUGUGGCAUACAGAGUUCAUCCAACUCUUUGCAAGGAAUAGUCUUGAUUCUCCCCUUUCUAGAGCAUGUAACUUCAUGUGAGCCUAGUUGCAUCAAUUACAAGUGUCAGCAAUUCAACACUUGGGCCAAAUUCUCUGCUAGUAAAACUCAGUGAGAUGUGAAGUCAGUUUGCCAGAGGUUAAGCUAUUGUCUUAAAACAGUUUAGGGCAUUGAUUCUCUUACAGUCAGGUGUAGAUGCCAUGAUAUGAGAACCUGAAUAGAAUCUAGGUGUGGGAGGAAAACCCUUUUGAUUCAGUUUAAGAUGUGCGUCUCGGUCUGCCGGCAGCCCCAAGGAGAUCCAGCCAGUCCUCAGGAGGCAGCUCCUCUGCAGGCUCCAGCAGCAGGCGGGAUGCAUCCGUCUCUUGUGGUGGCUCCACCACAACUAAGCUGCAGGGUCUGCCUUUUGUAGUUCCCCUUCCUAUCCCACCCUUCCGCUUCCAGCGGAACAGACAUGGCUCUCCUGUUUUAGCCCACCAGGAAGCAUGUUGUAGUCCCUCCCCGUCAUUCUCUGAGGGAGGCCACACCACCUCGCUAAAGGUAAAUAAAUGCUUUUUUUCCCUAUUUGACAGAUAAGGAGACUGAAGAAUGUAGUCUCGUCACUUAGGAACCUGGAAAUAGAGUACAGAUCUCUUGGCUACUACUCUAGUUGCUUUUUAAUUCUGUACCUCUUCUGGAUCACAAUGCUUCUCAUUUCUGUAUGCUUCAUAUAUAGUUAAGCAGAGACGUGCAGAAUCUGAAAUGCUGUAAUGACUAACUUCCCUCAUUUGAACAAACAAUACUGCACCUAAACUUAAGUUUACUCUGCUGUGGGCCAUGUUAGCCACAUAAUAGUGAAAGUCAAAAAUUGAGAAAUACUAAGUGGUGUCUGGCCAUCAUACAAUAUCUACCUUUGAAAACAUGAAGGUAUGUGAAAUCUGACAGAAAGGGAGUGCUGUAUAGCUGUUUAAGCCUGAACUUUAGGCUUCAUUUUAAAGGGACAUCAGCUUGAAAUCUAGUCUUUCAAAGUUGGAUGCUUUCAGGUACUACUCAUCCCUUAGUCCCCUUGUCAUUAGUGAAUUUUGUAUGUAUAUAAAAAAUUACAUACAAACUACGUUUAAGGAACAUUAUUUAGAUUGCAAAGUUGAAAAUUCAGAAGUUAAGAUAUGCCAGAGAUGCUCUAGGCAUCUCAGGUUAGACUCCUAAAGUUAAUGGACUCUUGACUUCAAUUUCUCUUAUUUCCCCAUCUGUAAAAUAGGGAUAAAGCCCCCUCAUCACUGGCAUGUUGUGAAAAUAAAUUCUUUAGUGUUUGUGAAGCACUCUCAUACUAUGACGGGUAUGGAAAAGCCUAUGAAGAAAUAAUUCCAAAUUAAGUGCAGAAUUUGAGUAGUGUCUAGUAAAGAAGUAUACGGAAAAACCAAUAUGGAAUAGCUGCUCAUUCAUUGUGAAGUGUUCAUCCUGAGCACAGAACAAGGCAGGGGUUGUAUGGAAAAAAAAUCAUGUGGUCAUGUAAAUAGAUUGUGUCAUAAUACAUAUGCUCAAGGAGGGGCUGAACUAAGGUUGCAAAGGCGUUUCCUGAAUUGAGUGCCUAAAUUUGCAACCUUAAUGUUCUUUUAAUGUAGUGUUGUGUGUGUAAUUUCCAAGCUUUUAAAAAGGCAAACUGCAAGGUAAAUUCCGCUUAGCUCCUGUGGCACUGGACCUCAGCUUGUUCAGUACAGGUGGAAUUGUCAAGAAAUGCUGCAGCAAAGUUGCAGCAAGUCUCCAUUGAGCACAUUCAAACUACUGUUUUUAAUGGCUUGUAAUUUGGCCAAAUUUGGGCAUUUUUUCAUCAGUAUCUUAAAAAAGCACAUCUCUGACACCCGGGCCAACCCUCUGCCAAAUUUCGACUUCCUGCUCAAAAGUAUGGAGGAACUAGAACUGUUGGAUGAAAAAAUUGUAAGGAAUUCUUUAUCAUGGGCAAAACAAUGUAUGUUUCUUAACCUUGUUCUUGGAAAUGGCUAGACCAUUUUUGUUGAAAAAUUUUCCAAAAAAUUCCACCUGAGGCAGGCAGUCAGCAUGUAAAAUUUCAGCCUCAACAAUUAGUUUGGCAAAAUUUAUA